AUGAAUGUGCUUUUAUUCAUCGUUUUAUCAAUCUAAUGUUACAUUUCACUUCAGUUUAAUAUUUCAAAUUAUUUAUUUGGAUUAUAAAGAUUAUAUAUUUUCAAAUUCCUCUUUUUGUAAUUGUACAUAACGUUAUCCCUGUUGGUUAAUUUGAGGUGGUCCAAGUUACAGUCUGAGGUAAAAUUUUGAUGAUCCUUUUUAACUAAGUUAUUAAAAUUAGUCACUAAAACAGGUAACUGUAAUUUUUCUUGAUCAAAUAAAGAAACGAUUUUAGAACUUAUAUUUUUUCUACUUUUCAGGACGGGAACAGCAACAAGAGUUUAACUUCUGAUUCGUAAUCUACACACUCUACUGGGCAGUUCAUGAAGACAGAUAGAUGUUGUGCCGACCAGGACAGUUCCUCCUACCACACCAGACUUUGCUGUAUAUGGAUGCCUGACCACUAGCACUGGACAUUUACAACAAUUUGGUGCCAGUGAUCCCUUGCAGAGAACAUUUUUCAAAGACACCCUCAGAAUUACAACAGAUUUUAAGGCUUAAAAUUAUUGUGGGUGGGAGUAUAAUGAACAUAAUAUGAUUGUUUUAUUUUAUUAUUAUUAUUUAUUUUUAAAUAGUUCCCAUUUUUUUGUAAUACAUUUGUUUAAUAAUACAGCACAAUAUAGGGCUAAGUUGCACCAGGUCAGGAAAAAACACAUAAGUUGCAUCCGUGUAUAAGACACAUUUUACUAAUAAUUUCAGAAAUAAUUUAAAUACUGAUAAAUAAAACAAACGUUAAGAAACUUAAAAACUAUGAACACUGUAAAGAUUUUAUUUCCCCUCACUUCAAAUCAUUUAAAUUGAAUACUAUUCAAAACAGAAUAAAAAUAAAAAUAUUUAGGCCUAUGUAUAAAAUAAAAAAAAUUCUAGUGCCAUUAUUUACAAGCAGUAUAUCUUUUGUUAAUUAAAAUGCACUUGCUAUCUCAGUUUCUGUGAACCUCAUUCUGAAAUGUAGAAAACACAGUGCUACAGACAAUACCACUGUGCACAGACAGGCUUGUCACA